rnacentral:rRNA from 1 species
CGUGUAGGCGGUCCGGUAAGUCCGCUGUGAAAGUCGGGGGCUCAACCCUCGAAAGCCGGUGGAUACUGUCGGGCUAGAGUGCGGAAGAGGCGAGUGGAAUUCCUGGUGUAGCGGUGAAAUGCGCAGAUAUCAGGAGGAACACCGAUUGCGAAGGCAGCUCGCUGGGACGUAACUGACGCUGAGACGCGAAAGCGUGGGGAGCAAACA